rnacentral:lncRNA from 1 species
AAGCACUUAAUAAAUGUUUGUGAACUAAGUGACUAAUUGUGGAUCAUUUUUAUGACAGAGCAGAAGUCAAUCUGUCUAGAGACACUUACAGAGACAGUUUGAAUCAGCAUGGAGACAAGCAGAUGAGCAGUCAGCAUAUGAGAGAGAUGGGCAGAAAAGCAGUGCGGGAAGUCAGGGGAAGACAGAUGGCCGCAUAGCUGAUUGCUGGCCCAGCAGCUGCAGAGACUAUCACUCACAGCAAACUGAGGCUGCAUAAUGUUGCCAGAGAGUGAAGAGUGUAAAUGAGGGCCUUGAGCUGGACUCCCUGGGCCCUUCUGAUUUGUAAGGAUCUGAUUUAUUAUUCGUAAGUGUCUGAUUUAUUAUUCAGUGACUUCUCUGUGCAAUUGUCAGGGCGGGGAAGUGGAGCCAUUUACUCUGUCUCCAGGACGUAUGCAAACAAUUUAAUCUUCCAGUGUGGUUCCUUAAUGUAAAUGUUUAAUACAAACCUGAUGUUAACAUGAGCGUACAUGAGUUUACUGGCAGGCUUAGCUACAACUU